rnacentral:rRNA from 1 species
GACGAACGCUGGCGGCGUGCUUAACACAUGCAAGUCGAGCGGUAAGGCCCUUUCGGGGGUACACGAGCGGCGAACGGGUGAGUAACACGUGGGUGACCUGCCCUCAGCUCUGGGAUAAGCCUGGGAAACCGGGUCUAAUACCGGAUAUGACUCCAUGACGCAUGUUGUGGGGUGGAAAGCCUUGUGCGGCUGAGGAUGGGCCCGCGGCCUAUCAGCUUGUUGGUGGGGUGAUGGCCUACCAAGGCGACGACGGGUAGCCGGCCUGAGAGGGCGACCGGCCACACUGGGACUGAGACACGGCCCAGACUCCUACGGGAGGCAGCAGUGGGGAAUCUUGCGUAAUGGGCGAAAGCCUGACGCAGCGACGCCGCGUGAGGGA